rnacentral:rRNA from 1 species
ACGGGUGAGUAACACGUGAGUAAUCUGCCCUUCACUUCGGGAUAACCGCCGGAAACGGUGGCUAAUACCGAAUACGACGCACUCUCGCAUGGGAUGUGCGUGGAAAGUUUUCUCGGUGAAGGAUGUGCUCGCGGCCUAUCAGCUUGUUGGUGAGGUAAUGGCUCACCAAGGCUUCGACGGGUAGCCGGCCUGAGAGGGUGACCGGCCACACUGGGACUGAGACACGGCCCAGACUCCUACGGGAGGCAGCAGUGGGGAAUAUUGGACAAUGGGCGAAAGCCUGAUCCAGCAACGCCGCGUGAGGGAUGACGGCCUUCGGGUUGUAAACCUCUUUCAGUACCGACGAAGCGCCAAUAACGGUGGUGACGGUAGGUACAGAAGAAGGACCGGCCAACUACGUGCCAGCAGCCGCGGUAAUACGUAGGGUCCGAGCGUUGUCCGGAAUUAUUGGGCGUAAAGGGCUCGUAGGCGGUCUGUCGCGUCGGGAGUGAAAACUUACAGCUUAACUGUGAGCGUGCUUCCGAUACGGGCAGACUUGAUGUAUUCAGGGGAGAACGGAAUUCCUGGUGUAGCGGUGAAAUGCGC